ACCAACCCGAUGCAAACUACGAAUACCGAAGAAUGUUAUCACGGGAGACACACGGCGGGUGCUAACGUCCGUCGUGAAGAGGGAAACAACCCAGACCGCCAGCUAAGGUCCCAAAGUCACAGUUAAGUGGGAAACGAUGUGGGAAGGCACAGACAGCCAGGAUGUUGGCUUAGAAGCAGCCAUCAUUUAAAGAAAGCGUAAUAGCUCACUGGUCGAGUCGGCCUGCGCGGAAGAUGUAACGGGGCUAAACUGUGCACCGAAGCUGCGGCAGCGACACUAUGUGUUGUUGGGUAGGGGAGCGUUCUGUAAGCCUGCGAAGGUGGCCUGUGAGGGUUGCUGGAGGUAUCAGAAGUGCGAAUGCUGACAUAAGUAACGAUAAUGCGGGUGAAAAGCCCGCACGCCGGAAGACCAAGGGUUCCUGUCCAACGUUAAUCGGGGCAGGGUGAGUCGACCCCUAAGGCGAGGCCGAAAGGCGUAGUCGAUGGGAAACAGGUUAAUAUUCCUGUACUUGGUGUUACUGCGAAGGGGGGACGGAGAAGGCUAUGUUAGCCGGGCGACGGUUGUCCCGGUUUAAGCAUGUAGGCGGAGGUUCCAGGUAAAUCCGGUACCUUUUAACGCUGAGGUGUGAUGACGAGGCACUACGGUGCUGAAGUAACAAAUGCCCUGCUUCCAGGAAAAGCCUCUAAGCAUCAGGUAACAUUGAAUCGUACCCCAAACCGACACAGGUGGUCAGGUAGAGAAUACCAAGGCGCUUGAGAGAACUCGGGUGAAGGAACUAGGCAAAAUGGUGCCGUAACUUCGGGAGAAGGCACGCUG
rnacentral:rRNA from 1 species